UCCGGCGUAGCUCAGCGGUAGAGCAUCGGACUGUUAAUCCGCAGGUCGCUGGUUCGAUCCCAGCCGCCGGAGCCA
rnacentral:tRNA from 1 species